rnacentral:pre_miRNA from 1 species
AGGGACGGGACGCGGUGCAGUGUUGUUCUUUUCCCCGCCAAUAUUGCACUCGUCCCGGCCUCC